UACGUAGGGGGCUAGCGUUGUCCGGAUUUAUUGGGCGUAAAGAGCGUGUAGGCGGCUUAGAGGUCGUGUGAAAACUCGAGGCUCAACCUCGAGACGCGGCGGAAACCUCUGAGCUAGAGUCCGGAAGAGGAGAGUGGAAUUCCUGGUGUAGCGGUGAAAUGCGCAGAUAUCAGGAGAACACCCGUGGCGAAAGGCGGCUCUCUGGGACGGUACUGACGCUGAGACGCGAAAGCGUGGGGAGCAAACAGGAUUAGAACCGUCCGUAGU
rnacentral:rRNA from 1 species